ensembl:snRNA U6 U6 spliceosomal RNA
GUGCUCGCUUCAGCAGCACAUAUGCUAACAUUGGAACGAUACAGAGAAGAUCAGCAUUGCCCCUGCGCAAGGAUGACAUGCAAAUUCGCGAAGGCUUCCAUAUUUUU